rnacentral:rRNA from 1 species
AGGACGAACGCUGGCGGCGUGCUUAACACAUGCAAGUCGAGCGGAAAGGCCCUUCGGGGUACUCGAGCGGCGAACGGGUGAGUAACACGUGAGUAACCUGCCCCUAGCUCUGGGAUAGCUCCGGGAAACCGGGAUUAAUACCAGAUACGACCACUUUAGACAUCUGUCGUGGUGGAAAGGAUUCCGGCUAGGGAUGGGCUCGCGGCCUAUCAGCUUGUUGGUGGGGUAACGGCCUACCAAGGCGACGACGGGUAGCCGGCCUGAGAGGGCGACCGGCCACGGCUGGGACUGAGACACGGCCCAGACUCCUACGGGAGGCAGCAGUGGGGAUAUUGCGCAAUGGGCGAAAGCCUGACGCAGCGACGCCGCGUGGGGGAUGAAGGCCUUCGGGUUGUAAACCCCUUUCAGCAGGGACGAAGCGAAAGUGACGGUACCUGCAGAAGAAGCGCCGGCUAACUACGUGCCAGCAGCCGC